rnacentral:snoRNA from 1 species
UACACUGAUGAAUAAUUAUAACUACAACGAAUUUCUUCACCUGAAUACCCGUGUAGAACAAAAAUAAUUUCAGAGCUUUUUAACACUGACU